AGAGCGAACGCUGGCGGCAGGCCUAACACAUGCAAGUCGAGCGGGCGUAGCAAUACGUCAGCGGCAGACGGGUGAGUAACGCGUGGGAACAUACCUUUUGGUUCGGAACAACCCAGGGAAACUUGGGCUAAAUACCGGAUAAGCCCUUACGGGGAAAGAUUUAUCGCCGAAAGAUUGGCCCGCGUCUGAUUAGCUAGUUGGUGAGGUAACGGCUCACCAAGGCGACGAUCAGUAGCUGGUCUGAGAGGAUGAUCAGCCACAUUGGGACUGAGACACGGCCCAAACUCCUACGGGAGGCAGCAGUGGGGAAUAUUGGACAAUGGGCGCAAGCCUGAUCCAGCCAUGCCGCGUGAGUGAUGAAGGCCCUAGGGUUGUAAAGCUCUUUUGUGCGGGAAGAUAAUGACGGUACCGCAAGAAUAAGCCCCGGCUAACUUCGCGCCAGCAGCCGC
rnacentral:rRNA from 1 species